CAUUAUUCUCUAUGAUUCUUUAUUCUAUAUUUCUGCUUUUUUUUGCUAUCUGUUCUUUAUUUUGCACUUUAUGUCAUUAUUUUCUAUUCUUAAACCCCCAUCUUGAUUCCAGACCCUCAAAUAUACGUAAAUGUACGAAAGCUUGCAUGGUACGUCGAACACGAAAACCCGGAAAUCUUUUCACCGUUACCGUUUUUUAUACUAUGACGCAAAAUCCAUGGACUCUCACGCGACCAUCUGCUGCUGUCUUUUUAAAAGUUUUUAAGAAUGGACAGAGAUAGAUGAUACAAGGAACUUUGGUUUUUCAAACUGGCGAAUCAAAAAUUUAUUAUAAACAGAUAAAUUGAAAUGGGUGACUUGUCGAUUAACUGGAAGAAACCGGGGAACGAAAUAUAGAAAAUUUAUGAAACGAAAGUCAACGCAACGAAAGUCAAAGUGUUUUUGUUUUGAUGGAUAAUUUUACGUACCCUAAAAGCGCAACGAAAGCAUUUUCAAUGAAAGUACAUUUUGUACAUGUACUUCAAGAAGUAGAAGAAUCUAAGCAACAGAACAGAAUUCAUUUGAGGCAUUGCUUUCUAGAUUAUAUAAUGGAUUCAUAGAUUGUCAUAUUGAUUUAUGUGCAUAAAAGGAGCAGUAGUCAAUGAAUAAUUUUGUGAUGAGAGCUUAUUACCAUGGUUGCCAAAUUAAAGGAAAGUGCAGUAUUAGAAUCACUGGUGUACAUGUAGAUGCGGAUGUCCGGCAAAAAGAACUGGUAUCAAAGAACUGAAAAGUAAAGAAACAGAACCAAAGAACAUUAAUUUUGGAUUAAUACAAUAUUGAACUCAAAGUCAAUUUAGUUAUCUUUCUUAAUCAUACAGGAUAUUUCCAAAAAAGCGGCUGCAUACACAUGCACCAGUAAUAGCCAGCAGUUGAGACAAUUAAAUAUCUGUGUAUGGUGAUAUAGCAAUAGAAAUAUCACAUACAUCAUAGGGAAAUAGAAAUGGAGUAUGUCAAAGAGACACACAUAUGAAAAAAGAAUAUAGACAGUAGAAAUGGAGUAUGUCAAAGAGACACACAUAUGAAAAUAGAAUAUAGACAAUAAAAUUGGGGUAUGUCAAAGAGACUAACAUGAAAAUAGAAUAUAGACAAUAGAAAUAGGGUAUAUCAAAGAGACAAACAUAUGAAAAUAGAACGUAGACAAUAGAAUUUGGGUAUGACAAAGAGACAAAAAUAUUAAAAAUAGAAUACAGACAAAAGAAAUGGGGUAUGCCAAAGAGACAAACAUAUGAAAAUAGAAUAUAGACAAUAGAAAUGGGGCAUGUCAAAGAGAGAAACAUAUGAAAAUAGAAUAUAGACAAUAGAAAUGGUGGAUGUCGAAGAGACAAACAAAACAAAAUAAAAUAUACUAGACAAUAGAAAUGUGGUAUGUCAAAGAGACAAAAAUAUGAAAAUAGAAGAGACAACAAGUUAAUAAAAAAAGAAUUCUACUUGAUAUAAAAAUUAUGGAGCACUGUUAUUUUUCUGCAUAAAGGAAUGCCUGUAUACAGUUGUUUUUUAUUUGUUUGAGCUUUUGAUUUUGCCAUGUAUUUUCUGUGGAGUUUGGUAUUUUGGGUUAUUUACUUUUUAAAGCAACAACUCACCACACUGAAGUAUUUACACUCAAAAUGAGUUCCUGACAGAAAAAAAAAAAUAACGAAGAAAAACAUAUUAAAGCAUCAAAACAUAACUUUAAAAAACCUACCGCAAAAAAAAAAAAUACAUAUAUAUACAAACCAUGUUUAGAAUCUAUGAGAAAAUAAAUGCAUUUGAACAAUUAAAAACAUAUAAAAAAUAUAUAUUUAGGACCAAGAUUAA